rnacentral:rRNA from 1 species
AUUGAACGCUGGCGGCAUGCCUUACACAUGCAAGUCGAACGGCAGCACGGGGGCAACCCUGGUGGCGAGUGGCGAACGGGUGAGUAAUGCAUCGGAACGUGCCCCGUAGCGGGGGAUAACCAGUCGAAAGAUUGGCUAAUACCGCAUACGCUCUUCGGAGGAAAGCAGGGGAUCGCAAGACCUUGCACUAUGGGGANCGGCCGAUGUCCGAUUAGCUAGUUGGUGAGGUAAAGGCUCACCAAGGCGACGAUCGGUAGCUGGUUUGAGAGAACGACCAGCCACACUGGGACUGAGACACGGCCCAGACUCCUACGGGAGGCAGCAGUGGGGAAUUUUGGACAAUGGGCGAAAGCCUGAUCCAGCCAUGCCGCGUGCGGGAUGAAGGCCUCGGUGUAACGCUUUGGUCAGACGAACGGUAGACGGGCGUAAGUAA